ACCUCCAGUCAGGGCUCAGCUGCAGAGGGCACCUGCACCUUGAGUGCUGUUUCCCCUGCACCCUGGGGCUCACUCCAGACCCUGAGGUCUCCAAGAACUUAAUACUUGUUUCCAGAAAUGUUCAGCCAGAAUUCAGGUCCUUCAAGGUCCUGCUCAGCUUAAAAAACUAGCUCCCACUAGAUUUCGUAAGGCGUGACAAGGAGCCAGACAAAACAUCUGGAUGGCCGAUGACUCAGUGUCCCAAGAUGCAAGCAGCCCUGCCAGUGUGACAACCACAGAAGACCCCAGACAUUGUCCAUAGCUGAGAACCCCUGGGGUAAGGAAAUCCUAAGCGGGGAAUCGUUGUUUCCAGCAGACCAGCACAGACCUCUCCGCUGCGCAGUGCUUCUACAAGUGCAGACAGACACCCUGUGUUCUGGAAAUACAACACAGCCUUGUAAAUAUGCGAAAACCGGUGAACUGUACAUUUUAUACAGGUGGACUGUAUGCAUGAGAACUGUAUCUGAAUAAAGCUGUUACCAACAAAGUUCAAGUACACAAACAAGGUAGUCCUCCCCCAGUCACAAACAGCCAUCACUCCUGGCCAGUGCAUGGAUUCCAAGAUUUUCCCAGGAACAGUCCCAGGAGCACGCUGGCCAGCACAGCUUGGUGAGACACUGCCUCACCACAACAAAGCAAGUAUCCUUUGAGCCAAGAGCUGUCUAAGGACCAGGGCCCUAGUUUCUAGAGGAGAGGAGCCUGCACCCUUAACAGAACCCUCUAGGAGCAAUCCAGUGUUGCUCACUAUGCAAAGUGCCAGCACAGCUACUUCCACUGUCUGUUCAGAGAUCAUCCAGUAUCACCAAAACAGGGACAGCGACAGCAAAGGUCAUGACAUCCCAUGAGAAACAGCCUAGGCUGCAUACUAGGGGACAACAUGGACCACUCCAGAACAGCCCCCAAGGGCCUCCACCAGCUCCCAGUGUGCGAAGCCUGUGAUCCCCUCCAGGACAGACCACCCAAACGCCUUCAUUUCAAAGCUUCCCCCACUUGCCCUGUCCCCAGUCCUGGUGGCCGGCUGACUAUGCCACGGGAGGAUGCUGUUCUUUUAGGUAAGUCGUCCUCCUUCAAGAUAUGGUAAGAAAUGGGGAGGGGAUAAGCUUCACUGGAGAGAAUUAAGAAGUCACUGCUUUAGACUGGGGAUCUAGUUUCCAGUCCAAAAGGCACUUUGAAUGAGGGGAUGAUUUUGAGGGAAGGGAGACUAGAGAAAAACAAAACAAUUUUAGCUUGGAUACCUGGAGUGGGUCUCAGGCUUAGGGUUGGGGACAUGUCUAGACAGCAGGACAACAGGGGCGG